GACGAACGCUGGCGGCGUGCUUAACACAUGCAAGUCGAACGGUGAAGCUCCAGCUUGCUGGAGUGGAUCAGUGGCGAACGGGUGAGUAACACGUGAGCAACCUGCCCCUGACUCUGGAAUAAGCGCUGGAAACGGCGUCUAAUACUGGAUACGAGAAGGGUCCGCAUGGGCACUUUCUGGAAAGUUUUUCGGUUGGGGAUGGGCUCGCGGCCUAUCAGCUUGUUGGUGAGGUAAUGGCUCACCAAGGCGACGACGGGUAGCCGGCCUGAGAGGGCGACCGGCCACACUGGGACUGAGACACGGCCCAGACUCCUACGGGAGGCAGCAGUGGGGAAUAUUGCACAAUGGGCGAAAGCCUGAUGCAGCGACGCCGCGUGAGGGAUGACGGCCUUCGGGUUGUAAACCUCUUUCAGCAGGGAGGAAGCGAAAGUGACGGUACCUGCAGAAGAAGCACCGGCUAACUACGUG
rnacentral:rRNA from 1 species